rnacentral:rRNA from 1 species
UACGGGGGGAGCAAGCGUUGUUCGGAUUUACUGGGCGUAAAGGGCGCGUAGGCGGCGUGACAAGUCACUUGUGAAAUCCCCGGGCUCAACCCGGGAACUGCGUCCGAUACUGGAAGGCUUGAAUCCGGGAGAGGGAUGCGGAAUUCCAGGUGUAGCGGUGAAAUGCGUAGAUAUCUGGAGGAACACCGGUGGCGAAGGCGGCAUCCUGGACCGGCAUUGACGCUGAGGCGCGAAAGCCAGGGGAGCAAACGGG